UAUAUAUAUAUAUGUGUGUGUGUGUGUGUGUGUAUACAUACACACACACACACACAUAUAUAUAUAUA